rnacentral:rRNA from 1 species
AUGAAGAUGGGUUUCUUUCCUACCGGUGCCAUUGUAUGUGCCUGCACGCCUCAACUAUCUUCUUUCCUGUUUACUGUCAGCAGGGGAACUAUUUGUGGAUGUAAUAUGCAGCUAAAGGUAUUCCAGCAUGAGCUUGCAUGCGCAACAACAGUGAUUAAAGUAAAGGCUUCAGGACUUGAGAGAAAUCCUUGGAACUUGAGAAGCCAAGGUAUGGUGAGAGCAGAUGAUUAUUACUUCGCUUUGGCCCAGCAUCGUCUUUACGUAUCAAUAUUAGAGCGUUGUGUUAUUCCAUCAUGUUACAUUACUAUUGCAUUCAUAUUUUUGUGA